GACGUAGGUGGCGAACGUUAUCCGGAAUUAUUGGGCGUAAAGGACGCGUAGAUGGUGUAGUAAGUUAUCGGUGGCAAAUCGAGGCUCAACCUCGUGGAAGUCGGUAAUACUGCUAUGCUAGAGGAUAGGAGAGGUUAACGGAACUCCCUGUGGAGCGGUGAAAUGCGUAGAUAUAGGGAAGAACACCAAUCAGGCGAAGGCAGUUAACUAUUCUAUUCCUGACAUUGAGGCAUGAAAGCGUGGGGAGCAAAACGG
rnacentral:rRNA from 1 species